UACAGAGGUCCCAAGCGUUGUUCGGAUUCACUGGGCGUAAAGGGUGCGUAGGCGGUCGGGUAAGUCUGAUGUGAAAUCUCACAGCUUAACUGUGAAACUGCAUUGGAUACUAUCCGGCUCGAGGAAUGGAGGGGAGACUGGAAUACUUGGUGUAGCAGUGAAAUGCGUAGAUAUCGGGAGGAACACCAGUGGCGAAGGCGGCCUUCUGGACCAGUACUGACGCUCAUGCACGAAAGCGUGGGGAGCAAACAGG
rnacentral:rRNA from 1 species